rnacentral:lncRNA from 1 species
UUUCCCAUGGGCAUAAAGUUCAAGAUGCUUUACUGGUUCCUUUCGAGACUGAACUACAGACACAGGACUACCAUCCAAACAAUUUGAAAACGGGGGUUGUUGAGCAAGGCGCGCAAGGCAGAAGCAACCGAAUAAACAAAAACAACACUCGCAAGAGUUAGCCACAGCAAAGAGGGGCCAGGUUCCUCGGGAUCCGACCCAGCUGCUCUGAUUUCACACCGACCUCCAUCAACAGCUAAACUGCACAGGGAGGAGGAUCGAACGGAUCCCUCCCGCCCUCCGCCCAAGGAGCCGACCCGGGGUAGCAAGGUAGGGAAAUGAGCCGUAAAGGAGAGCAAAGGCACCAAAUAAAAGGAACAAGGGAAGAAAAAAUAUCCCAACCCCUCCAGACUUGGGUCUGUCCCGGCGGAAAUAAAAAGCCGCAGUAGUCCAAACCCUCCUGCCCUCAACCCACGCCCCCUUUCUCAGUCCCUGCGGAGGGACGGUGCCCGGGGAUCCCUCUCAGCCUCCCCCAGUGCGCGCCCGGGGACGAGCCGCCCGAGCCCCGGCCGGCAGGAAGCGACCCUCGCCGGCAGGACCCCGGGCCGAACCCGUACCUUCCGCAGCACUUUCCGGCAGUUGGUACAGAGCAGACCCCCGCCCCCGCCAGGCUAGGACGAGCAGCCGCCACCGCUGCCACCGCCACCACCGCCGCCGCAGCGCCUCAGUGCGGCCCCGCCUCCGCCGCCCCACCACCUUCACCACCUCCACGCUCCGGUACCGCCCCUCCCGCCAAUCGGACAGCUCCGGCUACGCCCCCAGGGCGCUAGCCCGCAGCCAAUGAGCAACGAGAGCCCGACUGGGAGUCGCGCCGGCCAAUCGCAGGGGCCGAGGAAGCCUUGAAUCUCCGGGCAAGUUAAGUUUAUCUCCGAGGCUCGGAACUGAAGGGAGGUGGCGGUUAGCUAAGUAGUAGGGUAGCAGGGAACAGUUUGCUCUCCUCUGCCAAUAAGAGGACGAGGGUGUGUCAUAUGCAAAUAUACUGCCCUCCAAGCCCCACCCCCAAGAUAAGCUACGCCCCCUUCUCUAGGUCCCUGCAGAAGUGGUGAGGAGAAUGAGAUAAAUAGUUGGGAGCUAGAGCUCGCUAGAGAGUCUAAGAUUGAGCUAAAUAUUUCCUGAUCUCUCGAGAAAGGGGGAGGGGAGUGGGAGGAUUAAAUGUUCCUUCCUUCAGGGCAGUGGUUAGGCUUUCUCUCCACCAAAAUCUAACUUUAGCUGUAAAGAAGACUGCAGUUAUGUAGUACUUUGUAUCCAGGGAUCUCAAAGAACUUUACGCAUCAUUUAUUGUGAACCUUGUUUUGCAAAGAUUUCAGUUACUUGAGGCUUGGGAGGCGGAUAGGGGAUAAAUGUCUGAGUUAUAUAUAUAUUUACGCAAGUAAUCGAGUUUGAGGGGAGAGACACAAAACCUCUGGUUUAGCGGUUUCCUCUUGUUUGUGAAGCACCUUCUAGCAGUUAUCUUAGAGAUGUAAGUUCAUUUACUUGUCCAGCACUAAAAGGCCAAAGGGGCUUGUUUUCUCACCCAAAAGACCUUCCUGAGGCAGCUGUUCGGAUACAUGCAGAGCACAGCGCCCUGCUCAGAAAGGAAGGUUCAGAGAACAAAUUGUCGUUUAAAACUAUUGGGACAAACCUACCUCUUCUAAAGCUUAAAAUGGUCUCCAGCGUACCAGGAUUUGUGAAGGCCUGAAGUUCGUAGAAUGAAAUCUAUGUGGAGAUGAUUUAAAAGAACGGUUUCACUGAGACCAACACAUAUAAACCAAGUCUACACAAGAAACAAAGCUAAAAUCCUUUCGAAAUGAGUUCCUUUAAGUUCUUCAGUAACUAAAUCCUCCAGAAAGGAAAGCCGAGAGAAUCUAGUCCUAUACAAUAACACCCUCUAACAAAGAUCGCUAAAGGAAGAUUUUAGUAGAUGAAUAUCUUCAAUAAUACAUGGUCACAUACAUGUAUCUGACCAUAUGAUGGCUCUCUGCACCAAAUUCCUCCAAACUAUUAUAAUAUGUAUUGUCUGUAGUGCUAUUUAUUUGGCAGUUAAUCAUGUAUUACAUUGUGACAUUUCUUACAGUGAACCAUUAUGUAUGUGUUUAUGUUCUGCCCUCAACUACUCAAUGCCAGUACCUUAUUCUUAACACAGCAACCACCCUUUCUGGUCUGUCCUCACACCCUCAUUCCCAUCAUAGUUAUUCUCCUCUCUCAUGGAAAUGUUCAGUUUCUGGACAUCUCCUUUCUCUUCCAUUCUUCACCUGACCUUCCUUCCUUUCUUGGCCAGCCUGAAUAUUAUAAAGGGAAUUUUAUUUCAAACCCAGGAUCGCACUUAAGAGGAAAAGAAACAAAAGCCAGUUCUUUUUAUUGCACAUAGAACAAGGAGAAACUCCACCCCUUUUGUUGUCUGGUAUGUUUAAAACAAGAAAGAACUUUAGAAAAGUAGGAUAUGAGUGAAAAUUACAACCAAUGUUGAGAACUACUUUUUAAUUUUUUAUUACAAAAUUAGGAUGAUACUUCAUUAAACAUUGUACAUCAUUUCAAAACUGUUAUCUCAUAAUCAUGUUGCUUGUUUUGAAUUAUUCUUUUAAAGUGUAAUUUUUUUAAGCAAAGAAUCCAUAAAAUUACAUGGCUUGGAUGUACCAUAACUUACUUAAUCCUUAUGCUAUUGUUUAAUAUGUGGGUUGUUUCAGAUUUUUCAUGAUUGUAAAUAACAAAAUAAACUUCCUUAUACUUAAGUUUCU